GUCACCCGGAGCAAGCAGAAAAACAAAGCAGCAGCAAAACCAGCACAGAACCGAACCGAACCGGUCCAGAACAGCAGCCAUGAGCCACGUCAACGUGAAGAACCUGAAGCUGACCCAGUUCGAGGAGGAGCAUUACGAUGAGUAUGACCGCUACAACCUGACGGACAAAUACUCAGAGGGUUCGGCCCGCAAAGGCAGAACCAAGAAGGAGGCCAGCGACAACACGAACCGCCAGAACCCUGCAGGACACGAGAGGAAGAUCGUGGACAAACUGCAGAACAGCGAGAAAAAGGCCAAAGAGUGAAAGCCGAGGCAGCAGCUGCUGAACGCCGAGAGUCUGCAUUGCAUCAUUUUAAUGACGUCAGAAGUGUUCUAAGCUCCGCCCCUUGAGCCUCAUCAUGGCAGGUUGUCUGUGGCUUUUUUCCAAGUACAAAGUCAACAUUGAAUCUGUAUCUGGCCCGGUCGGAUGGAUCUUCCUGGUAAUGGACCACGGUCUCCUUGGUGAUGGAUUGAGAUGUUUGGCGCUCCACCUGGUUGACCCUGCGGAGCCGUUGACUCGCUGACCCCUGCAGCUGCUGAGGCUGACCUUUGGGUCGGCGUGCUGCAGAAUCCGGACCGGCACCGCGGCAAUGCAGCAGCUUGGAGAUGCUUGUUUUUAUGAGAUACAGUUUUAUUAUUAAAGGAUUUUAAUCGGA